AUCCCCGCUUCUGGAUGAUGUUGAACCGCUGAGUUCCAGCCAUGGGUUCUUCUGGCCUAGCUCGGCUGCAGGGGCUCUUCGCUGUCUAUAAACCUCCGGGGCUGAAGUGGCUGCACUUGCGUGAGACCGUGGAGUUGCAACUGCUUAAAGGUGAGAACUCCGACGCGGACCCACGGUUUUGCUUUAGUUCUUUCUGAUGUGGAGUGAGGUCACGUGGUUCGUUUGCCGGGUUGUAGCUGUUUCUUGUUUGUUUGUUUUUUUUCUCUUGUACACAUUUCGUUACUACCCACUCUCCGCUAUUUUCCUUUAGAGAAAUUCAUUCUAUAGUGUUGGGUUUUUUUUCGCGGUUUCUGUUACAGAGUUAGAAUUUGAACUUUUUUUUUUUUUUUUUUUUUUUUUGCCUUUUGAGACAGGGUCUUUUCUAAUUAAUCCGACCUUGAAAUCAGUGAGGCACUGAGAAUUCUGACUCUCCUGACUCCACCUGCCAGAUGCUGGGAUCACAAGCGUGACCACCACCCCGACCCUCAAACACCAAUUUUUUUCUUUGCCUUUUUUUCCUUUCUUUUAUUUUCUUAAAAACUGUCAUGUAGCCUCAAAUUUGCUAUGUAAGAUGAAGAUAACCUUGAACUUUUGACUGUCCUGCCUUCACUACCCAAGGUCUUAGACUACAUCUGUGUAGUACCACCUCCCAUUAGGGUGCUGGGGAUGGAACCCGGGGCGUCUUGCGUAUUGUGCAAACACUCCAUGAAUUGAGCUACACUUCCAACCUAGGAUUUUUGUUUUGUUUGUUUGUUCUUCACUUUUUAGAGAAUGGUUUCUCUGUAUACCCCUGGCUGCCCUGGAAAUAACUCUGUAGAUCAGUCAGGCCUUGAAUUCAGAGAUAGGCCCGCCUCUUGCCUCCCCAGUGCUGGAAUUAAUGAUACCUGGCUUCUGAAGGAGUCAUAGUACGUUUUCUACGAUACACAAAUCCAUCUUCUAUGCUACCAUCUCUCUACCCCUUCUCUUGCGGGUUGGAAAAGUACUGACUGUGUUCUUUUGUGCUUAGGUCUCAAUGCCCAGCAGCCUCCUGCUCCUGAUCAGCGUGUUCGCUUCUUGCUAGGCCCUGUGGAAGGCAGUGAAGAGAAGAAGUUGACUCUCAGAGCCACCAAUGUACCCUCCCUCACCACCCACAGACUUGGUAAGGCAGAGUCAGACAGGACCCUGGCCGUGAUGUUAGAGGAAAUCCCUGGCCUGAGUUAGAUUUCUAGCCCAGGGUUUGGCAAACUUCCCUAGAGAGGGAAGAUUUUAAACAGCUUCUGCCUACAGCCUUGUGUUUUCCUUGGCUCUGCUCCUCUUUGCUAUUGUAAUGCAAAGCAUCUCUAGACUGUAGGAAAGGAGAGAACCUUCUUGUAUUUUAGUCAAGACUGGAGUGCAGCCACAUGGUUGUGGUGCACGCCUUUAAUCCCAGCUCUUGGGAGGCAGAGGCAGGCGGAUUUCUGAGUUUGAGGCCAGUCUGGUCUACAAAGUGAGUUCCAGGACAGCCAGGGCUAUACAGAGAAACCCUGUCUCGAAGGAAAAAAAAAAAAAAAAGGCUGGAGUACAAAACAGCUAUUUUGAGAGCAGUUAUAAACACCGGUGUCCAGCAGCCUUUGUCUUCUAUGGGAGACUGAAAGGAUCAUUUAAAUUUAGGAGUCCCUGGCCAACCUGGGCAACACAGUGAGACCCAGUCUCAAAACAAAGUAGACUUGAUGAUUUGACUUGUGAACUACACUUUGCUGACUCUUAGCUAUUCUAGGACUCUCUAGGGAAGCUGAGAACUUCUGGUAGACCUGUGUUAUUAAUACCUGCUCUGUAUUAGACAUCAUGUUAUCUUUGUCCUCACCCCAGUUCUGUGAGGUAGGUCCCUUAUU
rnacentral:lncRNA from 1 species